CCCUCACGAGAAACAGACGUUGAUUCCCAAGCUUCCAGAUAAGCUUGCCGUCUAUUCUUCCAACACUCACAGCUUUCAGUGUUAAUUACGUCCUGCUGCUCUCACCCUCACCAAGACCCCGCCAGGUACCUGGAGACCGGAGUCCUCUUGAGCUUUUGCCUCACCACCCUCACCUGAGAUCUGCCUAAUUAAUGAGUCCUAGUUCCCAUACUGGAAGGCAGAAACAGACAGUCUCGCACAUAGUCAACAUCCUCACAGUCGGGCGAGCAGCUCACUAAUUCAUGUUCACAUUAGAAUGAACACAGGACUUGACGCGUGUAUCAGAACGACUUUACUGAAGACAAUGAGUGUCAGGAAAAUAAUGUUCAUCCAGAUGUAAGAGGCGAUAAUUGUUUUUGGUUUUAUUAUAGAGGUUUUCUUUAUCAAACUAGUAUACAUAUAGUAUACACAUGAGUAUAUAUUAGAUAGACUAUUUAUGUAUGCGGAAGCGUGUGUAUAUUAAAUGUUUUUAUAAGAAUAUGGGGAUUAAUUUGAAUGCAGAUGUAUGCGGGCAUGUAGUGUGUGUGUGUGGGGGGGGGGGUGCAAUACGUCGCAGUUUACCACUGAAGUAACAUUUCAGGCUGCUCUAACAUGAUGUUAAAAUUGUGUGGUGGAGGGUGGUGGGAGCUGUGAAGGGAAUGAGCGCACCAGGUGUUGUAGUCCACUAACUUGUUGAUGAAGAAGCAUAUAUUUAGGACCAUGCUAAACUGUGUCUGAGAGAGAGAGAGAGAGAGAUGCCUUUUCACCCCCUUUAUCCUACCCCCAUGCUAUGUAUUAAAU